rnacentral:lncRNA from 13 species
CCUUUAUCGUUUUUUAUUGCAUCUAUUUGGUUGUUCUCUCUUUUCUUUUUUAUCAGUCUGGCUAGUGGUCUGUCUAUUUUGUUGAUCUUUUCAAAAAACCAGCUCUUGGAUUUAUUGAUUUUUUGAAGGGUUUUUCGUGUCUCUAUCUCCUUCAGUACUGCUCUGAUCUUAGUUAUUUCUUGUCUUCUGCUAGGUUUUGAGUUUUUUUGAUCUUGCUCCUCUAGCUUUUUCAAUUUUGAUGAUAGGGUGUCAAUUUUGGAUCUCUCCACUCUUCUCAUAUGGGCACUUAUUGCUAUAUAUUUUCCUCUAGAGACUGCUUUAAAUGUGUCCCAGAGAUUCUGGUAUGUUGUGUCUUCGUUCUCGCUGGUUUCGAAGAACUUCUUUAUUUCUGCCUUCAUUUCAUUGUUUAUCCAGUCAACAUUCAAGAGCCAGUUGUUCAGUUUCCAUGAAGCUGUGCGGUUCUGAGUUAGUUUCUGAAUUCUGAGUUCUAACUUGAUUGCACUAUGGUCUGAGAGACUGUUAUGAUUUUCGUUGUUUUGCAUUUGCUGAGCAGUGCUUUACUUCCAAUUAUGUGGUCAAUUUUAGAGUAGGUGUGAUGUGGUGCUGAGAAGAAUGUAUAUUCUGUGGAUUUGGGGUGGAGAGUUCUGUAAAUGUGUAUCAGGUUUGCUGUUGUCUCCAGAUUUUUUAAUGAUCGCCAUUCUAACUGGCGUGAGAUGGUAUCUCAAUGUGGUUUUGAUUUGCAUCUCUCUGAUGACCAGUGACGAUGAGCAUUUUUUCAUAUGAUUGUUGGCCUCAUAUAUGUCUUCUUUCGUAAAAUGUCUGUUCAUAUCCUUUGCCCACUUUUGAAUGGGCUUGUUUGUUUUUUUCCUGUAAAUCUGUUUGAGUUCUUUGUAAAUUCUGGAUAUCAGCCCUUUGUCAGAUGGGAAAACUGCUAAAAUUUUUUCCCAUUCUGUUGGUUGCCGAUUCACUCUAGUGACUGUUUCUUUUGCCGUGCAGAAGCUGUGGAGUUUCAUUAGGUGCCAUUUGUCUAUUUUGGCUUUUGUUGCUAAUGCUUUUGGUGUUUUGUUCAUGAAGUCCUUGCCUACUCCUAUGUCCUGGAUAGUUUUGCCUAGAUUUCCUUCUAGGGUUUUUAUCGUGCCAGGUCUUAUGUUUAAGUCUUUAAUCCAUCUGGAGUUAAUUUUAGUGUAAGGUGUCAAGUUUUUAAAAAUUAAAGAUGAACUUUUCCUUUCUCUAAUUUUUCCUGUCUUAACAGACAAAGAAGUUCUAGUUAUUUAUAAAAUGUUUAUAUUUUCAGAGCAAGCUGGCUUGGAAGAGUAGGCUAAAUCUGUCACUUUCCUGGGAGUCUAAACUCCCCCAGUUCUGACAUUAGUGGCCUCUUUAUCUCUGGUGGAGGCACCACUUUGUUGCAGAGGGAGCCACUUUUGAGCACUGAAUUAACACUUUUAUGUAUUUUUUUUUGUAGAAAGUGAUUUAUUUUAAAGAGAGAGAGAAACACAAGAAGGAGGGAGAAAGAAACAACUAACUCUCACACUGAGUGAGAGAAUCCAGAAAGGUGGAAAGCAGCUUCCACACUGAAUGGAAGGGAAUAGAGAGAUAGAUGGAGUUUAGGAGGAGAAGACAGGCUUCCACGAGAGAGUGUGGAAGGGGACUCCAGAGGGAAAAUCCAGGAUAGAGAAAGAUGGCUUCCACAAAGGGAGUGCUCGUGGCAGGGGAUCCAAACAUGGAGUCCUGAAUUAACACUUUUCUAUUCAACCUUGUUCACCAAAGAAUGCUAGAACUAUAC